rnacentral:rRNA from 1 species
ACGAACCGUCCAAACGUUAUUCGGUAUCACUGGGCUUAAAGCGUUCGUAGGCGGCCUGGAAGGUGAGAUGUGAAAGCCCUCGGCUCAACCGAGGAAUUGCGUUUCAAACCACCAGGCUUGAGGGAGACAGGGGUGAUGGGAACUGUUGGUGGAGCGGUGAAAUGCGUUGAUAUCAACAGGAACACCGGUGGCGAAAGCGCAUCACUGGGUCUCUUCUGACGCUGAGGAACGAAAGCUAGGGGAGCGAACGGG